rnacentral:rRNA from 1 species
UACGUAGGGUGCAAGCGUUAAUCGGAAUUACUGGGCGUAAAGCGUGCGCAGGCGGUGAGAUAAGUCAGCUGUGAAAGCCCCGGGCUCAACCUGGGAACUGCGGCCGAAACCGUCUCGCUAGAGUACGUCAGAGGGGGGUGGAAUUCCACGUGUAGCAGUGAAAUGCGUAGAGAUGUGGAGGAACACCAAUGGCGAAGGCAGCCCCCUGGGAUGAUACUGACGCUCAUGCACGAAAGCGUGGGGAGCAAACAGC